rnacentral:rRNA from 1 species
GAGGAUCCGAGCGUUAUCCGGAUUUAUUGGGUUUAAAGGGAGCGUAGGUGGAAGAUUAAGUCAGCCUGUGAAAGUUUGCGGCUCAACCGUAAAAUUGCAGUUGAUACUGGUUUUCUUGAGUGCAGUAGAGGUGGGCGGAAUUCGUGGUGUAGCGGUGAAAUGCUUAGAUAUCACGAAGAACUCCGAUUGCGAAGGCAGCUCACUGGACUGUAACUGACACUGAUGCUCGAAAGUGUGGGUAUCAAA